UGCAGACUUUCACCCUGGGAAGCCAACAAUCUAAACACCCCAGACUGGAGUAGCCAGUUUUGAACAAGUGACUUCAGCUUCCCAAGUGUCAGACGCAUUUACGACCUCCAAGUCUUUCUGCCAAAGAGGUAUGCCGUCAGAGUACCUGCUAUCCUGCCCUAUCACAACACAUCAUCAUAAUUUGAUUUACGAAUGAAGAUGUCAUGUCUAAGUGUAUGGAAACACUCUAAACCAUUUUUGUGAUGGAGUCCUUGAUAUCUGAAAAUACCUACUUCUGAAAAGAACCCCAAACUUGCCACCUAUGGUAUGUUUCUUCUCUGCCUUUCCAUCCCCUGCAUUUUGCUGCAUUGAGACAAGUGGUUCCACCUUCCUACCAGGCUUUCAAGAUCAACUGCAUGGGAAUAGAUUGCAUUAUUUGUAGAUGCACUCCAGUUUCCAAGACACAUCAAUUUCCAAACAAUUUUUGCCAAGGCCAAGUGGAGUCAAAAAGCAACAUCCUGAAAGGGAGCAGUUGUUCCAACCAGUUGGAGGUGACGAUUUAUCAAGAGCCGUUAAUCCGUUGCCAUGUAAAGAGCCUCCAGCACAUUUACUUUUCAUCUUGGUGAGAG